rfam:Myotis davidii contig215102, whole genome shotgun sequence.
GGCAGUUCUUGGGUGAUGCACCCCAGAAUCGAGCUCCCUAUUCUCUGGUUCCCAGUGUGUCACCCAAGAACCACA